CACGUAGGGGGCGAGCGUUGUCCGGAUUUAUUGGGCGUAAAGAGCUCGUAGGCGGCUCAGUAAGUCGGGUGUGAAAACUCCAGGCUCAACCUGGAGACGCCACCUGAUACUGCUGUGGCUAGAGUCCGGUAGGGGAGCAUGGAAUUCCUGGUGUAGCGGUGAAAUGCGCAGAUAUCAGGAGGAACACCAAUGGCGAAGGCAGCUCGCUGGAACGGUACUGACGCUGAGGCGCGAAAGCGUGGGGAGCGAACAGG
rnacentral:rRNA from 1 species